rnacentral:misc_RNA from 1 species
UAGUCGUAACAAGGUUUCCGUAGGUGAACCUGCGGAAGGAUCAUUAACCUUUCAAAUCAGGGUGCGGCGCGGCCCCGAGAGAGAAACACCUUGGGAGGUAUGCGGGGGCUUCGAGCCCCAUCCAUUCGCACGCACGACUGCCAUCCUUACUUUACGAGCACCUUCUGUUCUCCCUCGGCGGGGCAACCUGCCGUUGGAACCGAAUAAACUCUUUUUGCAUCUAGCAUUACCUGUUCCGAAACAAACAAUCGUUACAA